CUGGGGACAGUGACACUGGAGAUGCGCGUUCACAAGACUUCUCCAUUUUUUUCUUUCAGUCUUUGAUUGAAUACAACGUUGCCCGGUUGGAAUAUUAUCGCUAUUUUCCGAGGAAAGUAGCAUAAAAAUAGAUUUUAAACAGAGUUUGACAUGCUUCUAAGUACGGUAAUGUAAUAUUUAGACAUUUUUGGUCACGAAAUGCGCACGCGCGUUACACUUCGGAUAGUGACCUGAACGCACGAACAAAACGGAGCUAUUUGGAUAUAACUAUGGAUUAUUUGGAACCAAAACAACAUUUGUUGUUGAAGUAGAAGUCCUGGGAGUGCAUUCUGACGAAGAACAGCAAAGCAUCAGUGGACACACCAGACUCUCCUUUAUCAGUCAUACAAAGAGAAUGUUCUAAUACCUCCCAUCGAAAAGAGAGCUGGCCCAAGCAAGCACAGGUUAAACCUGAAGCAUGAGGACUUGCAGCGAGUGGUAAACUUCAACAACUACGCAGAGGAUAAUGCAAUAGUAUUACCAGGAUGCCACCCAGGACACAAACACUUUGGUGGAAAGCUGCUGCCAUCCCAUGUGACAAAAGCAGCAGUAUGGUGUCUCUACAAGGAAUCAAUGACAACACUUGGCCACACCAAGUUUGCCCCGACUGGUGCAGGGCCUCAUCAAGCAGUGCUUCAGAAAGACCAGAGUGAAUACUUUGUCUGAGAUUGCUGGUGUUGUGAAGGACAGCACUGUGACAGGGGUAAACAUCCCAGUGGUGGUCCGCCUGUUAUCGAAACCUGGAGGUGGUCUUGAGAAGAGCGGCCUGGGCUCUCUUCCAGUUGCGGCGACAGCAACGGACGAACAUCUGGGCAGAAGGACAAUGACCCAACACACCUCCAGGCUGUGUAAGGGCUAUUUGACCAAGGAAGAGAGUGAUGGAGUGCUGCAUCAGAUGACCUGUCCUCCACAAUCACCCGACCUCAACCCAAAUUAGAUGGUUUUGGAUAAGUUGGACUGCAGAGUGAAGGAAAAGCAGCCAACAAGUGCUCAGCAUAUGUGGGAACUCAUUCAAUAUGGUUGGAAAAGC
rnacentral:lncRNA from 1 species